GUUAUUUCCGCGCGAAGCAACUCGGCGGUUGCACCGUUUAAUCAACGAACUCUAUCGUCGAUUUGCAAAUUGGAUCCUGUCGGUCGGAGGUCACGAUGUGAUUCGGGUAUCUGCGGAGUGUACGAUCGUCGAGGUUGUGUCGCUCGAUUUUCACACUUGCCACUUGUCACGAGACUGCACUAGACGAAACAAUGUUGCUGCUCCCGGUAGCACCGGCGAACGAGAAAACAAUAGAGAGAGAGACAGGUAUGCGUGCUUUCACCGUGGAACUACUUUGUUCGAACUGCGCGAGAGAUACACACGCUUUGGAGGCCGCCGGCUUACUGUCAGCCAACCGCUUGGAAAACUCCCCGUAGGCCACGGGUUUAAAACGAGCCGCCUGUUGCCUCGUACAUCUUCGCCUCCUGUCGGCGAUCCUCGGCGUUCCUACACGGGCCGCCGCCACCGCCGCCGCCGCCACCGCCACCACUCGCCGCCGCUCGCCGCGCCGGUUACGAGCGUUAAUACACUCGCAGCUUUUGUGUACUCCUCGAAAGGGCACUGUUUCCCGCCACCUUUUUUCGCUGGAACUUUUCGUGGAUUCGCGAGGCGAUGUGCGAAGCAGAUGUUACGAGAACUCCUCGACCGUUUUAUCCGUCGGAUCUACCACGAAAAGUCCCGGGAGAUGGUUCUUUUGGCCCUCCGCGAUGUCGAUGAACGCGCCAGCAUGGCGAGUACCGGUUAUUCUUGGUUUGUUCAGAUGGAACUUAUGCGGAGAUAAUGGGCGAAUUGAACGAUAGAGACUUGACGAUGGUGGUGCCACUUCUAGUACAGUCGUCAUUAUGAUACCGUCUGUCUACCGCCAUAUUGAAGGGGUGAGAAUCAGUUCUACAAGAGGAUGAAGACGUUUUAUUAAAUAUCUGAGGAACUAAUGAAGCUGGAGAAACACGAUCCUAAAUGUAUUUCCACGAUGUAUUUUCUAAGUGUUGAAGGUUGUCCCUGCGACGGACGUAAUAUUUUAAAUUAGGGUAUUACAUUGUUGUAUGAUGAGCUGCGUCGCAUCUAGCGAAAGAAUGCGACGACUGUCUACUAUCUGCGUUGCCUUUUUCUUGAGGCUCCAACGGCCAAAAAUUUUGUUUUUUAGUCAGUUGCCUGCGGACGAGCGAGAUGAUUUCUUAAGUCUUCCAGCCAAAUGCUUGUCCAUCUAUGGUAUAUACACAUAGCUGUUUCUAUUAUCAAGCGAAUGUUAUAUUUACAAGAACAAGAUCGUCAGAAAUGUUAACUAGAAUCUGGUUUAUAGGUGAAGUUUUACUGUUACACUAAUGAAAACACAGUUUCACCGCAUGGGAACAAAGGAAAGAAAUGGAAAUGUAGAAAACAAAUAUGUGGACGUAUACCUGCUUCUUCAAAUUCGUAGUUGACUCAUUCAUCUGUUAUAACAGCAACGAGUUAACUCGUCAUUGCCUGUUGACAGGUUAAUAGCACGGUACAGUUUAAACAGACAUGUGAAAAAGACAAGUCUCUUCCCGGUACUCGUAGCUGGUCGCGCCGGCGCGGCGGUUUUUCUGUCUGUUCCCCGUUGUUGUUUUUUCUCCCCAUCGCGGGCAGAAUUUUUGCGAAGAAGCAACCGUGCAAACUUCAGCCGGGGACCGGGCGACUAGGUGGUCCGGUUCUGUUUGCCUUGCUCCUACUCGACGCUCGAGCGCAAAUAAUUGAAACAACGAGCGUGCGUGUACACGAGCGAAAACAAAUAAAACUGGUCGGGGGCACGCAUAUUUUUACGACGCAGCGCAACGAGCACCUUCAGCUCGCGACGAAACGCGUGCUAAUUUCGUCCGCGCGUUCUUCGGAAAUAUCGCGAUAGAAAUUCCAGUUUCGAGUCCGGGGCACGUUGCGGCCAUCAAUUGACAACAUUCGAAAAAGUCACUGUUUCGUAUUUAUUCAAAACUACGAGCACGAUGCGUUAAAAUGUCUAAAUAAUCAUAUUCAGCAACAUAACCUUGACAUAACCCCGACCUAACCGUGUCCUCUACACUUUAGGUAAGGUUUUAAAAAAAAACGGCUCAAAAUAUCCUGGGAUUCUUAUUCCGACAUAUUCGUCAGACAGUACAUUUUGAUACUAUAAAAACUUUUUAUUGCGAAAAGUUGCAGUCUUCAGAGUUAUUUAACAAAAUGAACCGGUCGUCAGCUUGAUACGCGAAUAUUUGCUUAUAGAAACAGAAGAUUUGAUUAUUCGAUAAAAAAUAAAACAAGAAUUGUUUUCAUGAAA